rnacentral:rRNA from 1 species
GAUGAACGCUGGCGGCGUGCCUAAUACAUGCAAGUCGAGCGAACGGACGAGAAGCUUGCUUCUCUGAUGUUAGCGGCGGACGGGUGAGUAACACGUGGAUAACCUACCUAUAAGACUGGGAUAACUUCGGGAAACCGGAGCUAAUACCGGAUAAUAUUUUGAACCGCAUGGUUCAAAAGUGAAAGACGGUUUUGCUGUGACUUAUAGAUGGAUCCGCGCUGCAUUAGCUAGGUGGUAAGGUAACGGCUUACCAAGGCAACGAUGCAUAGCCGACCUGAGAGGGUGAUCCGCCACCCUGGAACUGAGACACGGUCCAGACUCCUACGGGAGGCAGCAGUAGGGAAUCUUCCGCAAUGGGCGAAAGCCUGACGGAGCAACGCCGCGUGAGUGAUGAAGGUCUUCGGAUCGUAAAACUCUGUUAUUAGGGAAGAACAUAUGUGUAAGUAACUGUGCACAUCUUGACGGUACCUAAUCAGAAAGCCACGGCUAACUACGUG